rnacentral:rRNA from 1 species
CCUACGGGUGGCUGCAGUGGGGAAUAUUGGACAAUGGGGGCAACCCUGAUCCAGCCAUGCCGCGUGUGUGAAGAAGGCCCUCGGGUUGUAAAGCACUUUCAGUGAGGAAGAACGCCUGGUGGUUAAUACCCAUCAGGAAAGACAUCACUCACAGAAGAAGCACCGGCUAACUCCGUGCCAGCAGCCGCGGUAAUACGGAGGGUGCGAGCGUUAAUCGGAAUUACUGGGCGUAAAGCGCGCGUAGGUGGCUUGAUAAGCCGGUUGUGAAAGCCCCGGGCUCAACCUGGGAACGGCAUCCGGAACUGUCAAGCUAGAGUGAAGGAGAGGAAGGUAGAAUUCCCGGUGUAGCGGUGAAAUGCGUAGAGAUCGGGAGGAAUACCAGUGGCGAAGGCGGCCUUCUGGACUGACACUGACACUGAGGUGCGAAAGCGUGGGUAGCAAACAGGAUUAGAUACCCCAGUAGUC